rnacentral:rRNA from 1 species
UACGAAGGGGGCUAGCGUUGCUCGGAAUUACUGGGCGUAAAGCGCACGUAGGCGGCUUUUUAAGUCAGGGGUGAAAUCCCGAGGCUCAACCUCGGAACUGCCUUUGAUACUGGAGAUCUUGAGUCCGGAAGAGGUAAGUGGAACUGCGAGUGUAGAGGUGAAAUUCGUAGAUAUUCGCAAGAACACCAGUGGCGAAGGCGGCUUACUGGUCCGGAACUGACGCUGAGGUGCGAAAGCGUGGGGAGCAAACAGG